rnacentral:misc_RNA from 1 species
GAUAGAAUCAGAGAAACAAACAUCUCUCCUGAUUUAGUCACUUAUAGAAUAAUGAUCAAGGGAUAUAAGCUGGUCAAAAAUUUUGAUCUAGCUUAUGACAUGACUGAUGAGAUGCACAGAGUGUUUAACAUUCCUCAGAAUGCAUUGUUAGAGUUAAAUAUGGUUAGAGAGGAUUCAUAUAGUCGAUCCCAACUUGUUUGAGAUUAAAGCACUUUCUUGAAAAGUUUGUACAUGUAAUCAUUUUUGU